UACGUAGGUGACAAGCGUUGUCCGGAAUUAUUGGGCGUAAAGGGAGCGCAGGCGGUUGGAAUAGUCUGAUGUGAAAGCCCACGGCUUAACCGUGGAAUUGCAUUGGAAACUGUCCAACUUGAAUGCAGAAGAGGAAAGCGGAAUUCCAUGUGUAGCGGUGAAAUGCGUAGAUAUAUGGAGGAACACCAGUGGCGAAGGCGGCUUUCUGGUCUGUGAUUGACGCUGAGGCUCGAAAGCGUGGGGAGCGAACAGGAUUAGAUACCCCCGUAGUCC
rnacentral:rRNA from 1 species